rnacentral:rRNA from 1 species
AUUGAACGCUGGCGGCGUGCCUAACACAUGCAAGUCGAGCGAGCGGCGGAGGGGGGAGUAAUGUUUGGGAACCCGCGGGAUGGAGGGGGAUAACUACGGGAAAACGCAUCGAAAACCGUACACCAUCAGAUGUGGCCAGAUGGGAUUAGCUAGAAGGUGGGGUAAUGGCUCACCUAGGCGACGAACCCUAGCUGGACUGAGAGGAUGAUCAGCCACACUGGGACUGAGACACGGUCCAGACUCCUACGGGAGGCAGCAGUGGGGAAUAUUGCACAAUGGGCGAAAGCCUGAUGGAGCCAUGCCGCGUGGGUGAAGAAGGCCUUCGGGUUGUAAAGCACUUUCAGCGGGGAGGCGUUACCCGCAGAAGAAGCACCGGCUAACUCCGUGCCAGCAGCCGCGGUAAUAC